CUCUCUAUAGCUCAGUUGGUAGAGCGAGGGACUGUAAUUGCUCUCCUGAGUCCGAUCUGAACCCAGUUUCAGCGGGCAUCCCUAGGUCCAUUGUUCGAAUCAGUGUGGAGAGA